rnacentral:rRNA from 1 species
AUUGAACGCUGGCGGCAGGCCUAACACAUGCAAGUCGAACGAGUGGCGGACGGGUGAGUAAUGUCUGGGAAACUGCCCGAUGGCGGGGGAUAACUACUGGAAACGGUAGCUAAUACCGCGUACCAUCGGCUGUGCCCCCAUGGGAUUCGGUGGUCUGUGAGGUAACGGCUCACCUAGGCGACGAUCCCUAGCUGGUCUGAGAGGAUGACCAGACACACUGGAACUGAGACACGGGCCAGACGCCUACGUGAGGCAGCAGGGGGGAAGAUUGCACAAGGGGAGAAAGCCGGAUGCAGCCAUGCCGCGUGUAUGAAGAAGGCCUUCGGGGUGUAAAGUACUUUCAGCGGGGAGGCGUUACCCGCAGAAGAAGCACCGGCUAACUCCGUGCCAGCAGCCGCGGUAAUAC